AAGCUUAGAAGUCGCCGAUUCGA
rnacentral:siRNA from 1 species